rnacentral:rRNA from 1 species
GACGAACGCUGGCGGCGUGCCUAAUACAUGCAAGUCGAGCGAACGGAGGAGAGCUUGCUCUCCGAAGUUAGCGGCGGACGGGUGAGUAACACGUGGGCAACCUGCCUAUAAGACUGGGAUAACUUCGGGAAACCGGAGCUAAUACCGGAUAGAUUCUUUCCUCUCAUGAGGAAAGAAGGAAAGAUGGUUUCGGCUAUCACUUAUAGAUGGGCCCGCGGCGCAUUAGCUAGUUGGUAAGGUAACGGCUUACCAAGGCGACGAUGCGUAGCCGACCUGAGAGGGUGAUCGGCCACACUGGGACUGAGACACGGCCCAGACUCCUACGGGAGGCAGCAGUAGGGAAUCUUCCGCAAUGGACGAAAGUCUGACGGAGCAACGCCGCGUGAACGAUGAAGGCCUUCGGGUCGUAAAGUUCUGUUGUUAGGGAAGAACAAGUAUGAGAGUAACUGCUCGUACCUUGACGGUACCUAACCAGAAAGCCACGGCUAACUACGUGCCAGCAGCCGCCGCAGUAA